rnacentral:rRNA from 1 species
AUUGAACGCUGGCGGCAGGCCUAACACAUGCAAGUCGAGCGGUAACACAGGGAGCUUGCUCCUGGGUGACGAGCGGCGGACGGGUGAGUAAUGUCUGGGAAACUGCCUGAUGGAGGGGGAUAACUACUGGAAACGGUAGCUAAUACCGCAUAACGACGCAAGACCAAAGAGGGGGACCUUCGGGCCUCUUGCCAUCAGAUGUGCCCAGAUGGGAUUAGCUAGUAGGUGGGGUAACGGCUCACCUAGGCGACGAUCCCUAGCUGGUCUGAGAGGAUGACCAGCCACACUGGAACUGAGACACGGUCCAGACUCCUACGGGAGGCAGCAGUGGGGAAUAUUGCACAAUGGGCGCAAGCCUGAUGCAGCCAUGCCGCGUGUAUGAAGAAGGCCUUCGGGUUGUAAAGUACUUUCAGCGGGGAGGAAGGCGACAAGGUUAACAACCUUGUCGAUUGACGUUACCCGCAGAAGAAGCACCGGCUAACUCCGUGCCAGCAGCCGCCGUAA